GGAGCUAUAGCUCAGUGGUAGAGGUCAGUGGUCCUGCGCUUUCAGGGUGCCUUCUAGACAUUAAGGCUAACAAUACACAGCGAAGGAUUGCAGUUACACAAACAUGUUAUUAUCCUUAGGUCACCGGUUCGAUCCCGGUUGGUUCCU